rnacentral:misc_RNA from 1 species
UGGUAUAAACGAAUUCUUGUGGAAGUUCGACAUUUUCGACAAAACAAUGAUUUUUCUUUAUUGUAUAAAAACUAUUCAGGGGUAUCAAAAAAGUACCAAAUUCAUGUAGAGACGUUAUUUUUAUGUUACGCAUUAUAUUCUGUUUGGAAACAUGCGAUUUUAUCAUUAUUGUUUUUUUUAAGAAUAGGGAACAAUUUUUAUUUUUAAAAUACCAUACAUGUUGAACAGUUUUAUUUAUUUACAUUUUUAGAUCUUGUACAUGUACAUAUAGAAAUGAUAAAAAGGUAUAAAGUGAAAGAAGUAAUAUAUUGUACAAUAAUUUAAAGCUCUUUUUUAUGUUAAUAUCUAUUUCAAAUAUAUUAUACAUAUAAUUUCUCAAAAAAAUUCUAUUAGAAUUGCACGUCUAUUAAUGUAUAUGUAGAGAACUCAAUCCUUUAGCCUGCAAUGACUGUAAGCUGUAUAUGAUACUGGAUGAAAGGAAAAUAAAUGCAAAGUUUGUUUUUUGUAGAAGCGGUGAUCAGGUAUUUAAUAAUAUUUAAUAAUAGGUAUAAGUAUCCAGCAAAUACGGGCACCACGAUUGUGUCAAGCAAUCGCAAAUUGAGAUAAUGUAUCCCAGUUGAUAAUCUAAUUCUGUGAGGAUCAAAUUAUAGUAUGUACUAUGUGUCCUUGGCUCCAUCGUAUCGGAGGUGUUCUGUUUGUCGAAUGCAUUGUUUGCUUGUAUAAGUUUACAGUUUAAUUAUGCAUUUGUAUAUUGAAUAAAACUUUUUUGUACUGAC